rnacentral:rRNA from 1 species
CUGUCCUACGGGAGGCAGCAGUGAGGAAUAUUGGUCAAUGGCCGGAAGGCUGAACCAGCCAAGCCGCGUGAGGGAGGAAGGCGCAGAGCGUCGCAGACCUCUUUUGCCGGGGGACAAAAGGCCGGACUCGUCCGGUCCUGAGGGUACCCGGAGAAAAAGCAUCGGCUAACUCCGUGCCAGCAGCCGCGGUAAUACGGAGGAUGCGAGCGUUAUCCGGAUUCAUUGGGCUUAAAGGGAGCGUAGGCGGGCGUUCAAGUCAGCUGUAAAAUCGCGCGGCUCAACCGCGCCCCGCAGUUGAAACUGGG